rnacentral:rRNA from 1 species
UGGGGAAUAUUGCACAAUGGGCGAAAGCCUGAUGCAGCAACGCCGCGUGAGUGAUGAAGGCCUUCGGGUUGUAAAGCUCUGUCUUUUGGGACGAUAAUGACGGUACCAAAGGAGGAAGCCACGGCUAACUACGUGCCAGCAGCCGCGGUAAUACGUAGGUGGCAAGCGUUGUCCGGAUUUACUGGGCGUAAAGGAUGCGUAGGCGGAUUUUUAAGUGAGAUGUGAAAUACCCGGGCUUAACUUGGGUGCUGCAUUUCAAACUGGGAAUCUAGAGUGCGGGAGAGGAGAAUGGAAUUCCUAGUGUAGCGGUGAAAUGCGUAGAGAUUAGGAAGAACACCAGUGGCGAAGGCGAUUCUCUGGACCGUAACUGACGC